rnacentral:rRNA from 1 species
CAGCAGCCACGGUAAUACAGAGGGUGCAAGCGUUAAUCGGAAUUACUGGGCGUAAAGCGCGCGUAGGUGGUUUGUUAAGUUGGAUGUGAAAGCCCCGGGCUCAACCUGGGAACUGCAUCCAAAACUGGCAAGCUAGAGUACGGUAGAGGGUGGUGGAAUUUCCUGUGUAGCGGUGAAAUGCGUAGAUAUAGGAAGGAACACCAGUGGCGAAGGCGACCACCUGGACUGAUACUGACACUGAGGUGCGAAAGCGUGGGGAGCAAACAGGAUUAGAUACCCCCGUAGUCCCUGUCUCUUAUAA